UCAACCAGAAGAGGAGCAGUAGCUAGGUAGAUAACACGAAGAACCACCAUUCUUUUGACUGUUAUUGAGGGAGACUAUUGCCGAGAGUAAUUAGCGAGUGGCGUUAUUUAUUCGGUUACUAGGGCUGAAUCCCUAGGAUUGUCACCUCUAGUUAGUAUAUUAAGUGCUAAUUAGAUUAUGGUGGAGAGCUUCUGGCUGA
rnacentral:ncRNA from 2 species